ACACCUACGGGUGGCAGCAGUGGGGAAUCUUGCGCAAUGGGCGAAAGCCUGACGCAGCAACGCCGCGUGCGGGAAGAAGGCCCUCGGGUUGUAAACCGCUUUCAGCAGGAACGAAAAUGACGGUACUUGCAGAAGAAGGUGCGGCCAACUACGUGCCAGCAGCCGCGGUGACACGUAGGCACCAAGCGUUGUCCGGAUUUAUUGGGCGUAAAGAGCUCGUAGGCGGUUCGGUAAGUCGGGUGUGAAAACUUUGGGCUUAACCCAAAGCCUGCAUCCGAUACUGCUGUGACUAGAGUUCGGUAGGGGAGCGGGGAAUUCCUAGUGUAGCGGUGAAAUGCGCAGAUAUUAGGAGGAACACCGGUGGCGAAGGCGCCGCUCUGGGCCGAUACUGACGCUGAGGAGCGAAAGCGUGGGUAGCAAACAGGAUUAGAUACCCUGGUAGUCCACGCCGUAAACGUUGGGCACUAGGUGUGGGUUUCAACCAACGAAAUCCGCGCCGUCGCUAACGCAUUAAGUGCCCCGCCUGGGG
rnacentral:rRNA from 1 species